rnacentral:lncRNA from 1 species
GGCCGGCGCGCGUGGGGGACCGCGGGGACGAGCUCGCCCGCGCCGGCCGGGGUGACAGCUGCGCGCGCCUCGGCCAGAGAGAACUGAGGAGCCUGGGGAAGGCAGGUGCCAUGACUGAUGGACGCUGGAGAGCUGCAAUUAAUUUUAAACAAGGUUGCCUGGACUUGGAGAACAAGGGCAGGUCAUGGGUGAGGCUGGGCUGCCAAAGUCUCUGUUUGCCCAGGGAGGACCUGGUCCCUUGAGUACUCACAGCAGGGCCCCUGGGCUGAGUGCUCCUUGGAAAGAUAAAGAAGUGCAGGUGCCUGCCUCUGCUUGAGAUGCUUCGGUUGGCCUCGGAUGAGUGAGGGGUGGUGUCGAGGGGCACCAGAGCCAGCCCUUGGCCUCUGUGGUCCGUGCAGAGGACCAGCUGGUGUUCGGCAUGCCUGGGAUGAGGGGGAGGAAGAGGAAGGCUCCGCAGCUCUGAGUGGUGCGAAGUUCUGUCCUCCGCUGUCCCUCCUCUUUUUCCUCUACCUCCUCCCCUCCUCCUUCGCUCCUCCUCUUCUCCUCUACUUUAUUUUAGUUUUGGGUUCUUGAAGCGGGGUCUCAGUGUAGCCCUGCUGGCCUCCAGCCCCAUCCCUCUGCCUCCGUCUCCAAGUGCUUGAGUGAUUACGGGCCUGGGCCACCAUGCCGACCCUUCCCCACCUCUUCUGAUAGUUGACUUGAUUUUCCCUGGUUUGUUUUUCAUUUUUGUUUCUGUGUUUUUGUACUGACAAUUGAACUCGGCCCAGCACCUUUACACUAAGGUAUAUUCCCAGCUGUAAAAAAUUGUUUUUUAACUUUCAUCUUGAGACAGUCUCACUGGGCAGCUAAGUUACGAAGAAGGCCGUGCUGGGAUUUACAGUCCUCUUGCCUCAGCCUCCUACAGCGCCGAGAUGACGGAUGUGCACCAUCACACCCGGCUGAGUUUCCCUUUCGUAGUCGCCUCUCAGCAGAGCUCACUGCAGUGGGAGCCGCUGUCAGGAAGCGAGACCCGGAGGCCGCUGCUGGGC